UACGGGGGGGGCAAGCGUUGUUCGGAAUUACUGGGCGUAAAGGGCUCGUAGGCGGCCAACUAAGUCGGAUGUGAAAUCCCCAGGCUUAACCUGGGAACUGCAUCCGAUACUGGAUGGCUUGAAUUCGGGAGAGGGAUGCAGAAUUCCAGGUGUAGCGGUGGAAUGCGUAGAUAUCUGGAGGAAUACCGGUGGCGAAGGCGGCAUCCUGGACCGAGAUUGACGCUGAUGAGCGAAAGCUAGGGGAGCAAACGGG
rnacentral:rRNA from 1 species